AUUUACAUAUUUUAUUAGAAUUUAAUAUUGAAGAUAUUAAGGAGGUUAUAUUUACCUGUGAAUAA
rnacentral:tRNA from 1 species